rnacentral:rRNA from 1 species
GACGAACGCUGGCGGCGUGCUUAACACAUGCAAGUCGUACGGUAAGGCCCUUUUGGGGGUACUCGAGUGGCGAACGGGUUGGUAACACGUGAGUAACCUGCCCACAACUUUGGGAUAACGCUAGGAAACUGGUGCUAAUACUGGCUACGUGCCCCUGCUGCAUUGUGGGGGUUGGAAAGCUCCGGCUGUUGUGGAUGGACUCGCGGCCUAUCAGCUUGUUGGUGGGGUAGUGGCCUACCAAGGCGGCGAAGGGUAGCCGGCCUGAGAGGGUGACCGGCCACAGUGGGACUGAGAGACGGCCCAGAUGCCUACAAGAAGAAGCAGUGGGGAAUAUUGGACAAUAGGGGCAAGACUGAUGCAGCAGGGCAGCGUGCGGGAAAACGGACUUCGGGUGGUGAGCCGCGUUGAGCAGGGACGAAGCUAUUUGUGAAGGUACAUGCAGAAGAAGCACAGGAUAACUACGUG